AAUUACCCAAUCCUGACACAGGGAGGUAGUGACAAGAAAUAACAAUACAGGGCUUAAAGUCUUGUAAUUGGAAUGAUGGGAAUCUAAACCCUUCCCAGAGUAUCAAUUGGAGGGCAAGUCUGGUGCCAGCAGCCGCGGUAAUUCCAGCUCCAAUAGCGUAUAUUAAAGUUGUUGCAGUUAAGAAGCUCGUAGUUGAAUUUCUGCCUUGUCAUUAAUCUCGCUUCCGAGCGUUUUUUUAUUGACUUGGCAUCUUCUGGAUUUGGUGCCUUCGGGUACUAUUUUCCAGGAUUUACUUUGAGAAAACUAGAGUGUUUCAAACAGGCAUUCGCCUUGAAUACUACAGCAUGGAAUAAUGAAGUAGGACUUCGGUUCUAUUUUGUUGGUUAUUGAGCCAGAGUAAUGGUUAAUAGGAGCAGUUGGGGGCAUUCGUAUUUAA
rnacentral:rRNA from 1 species